UAAUUUUAGGGUGUACACAGAACUUCUGGAGGCAAGGCUUCAAACUUUGUGUCGAUACAUUUAGAAAUUUUCCAUGGAAAAGCUCUAUGGCCCAAGAAAUAUCAAAACCCACCACCUCGGAGACUUUUUUUUGUUCAGGGACCAUAGUCUGUUCACCAGGAUUCUUUGGGAAGAACUUGGACAAAGUUUGCUUCUAGCUUCAUCUUUUAUUGAAUUGGAACUCUAAAACCCCAGCUGCCAACCCAACACCUUUCCUGUGUCUUGGGAUUAUGGAACUAUGAAAGGAAUUUGUUUUGCUGGCUUCUAGGCCUUGUGACACUUGGACACACCUCUCACUAACUUCACAAGCCACAGGCUUAUUCAUUCAGCACUGAGAGGAGUUUCUGUAUCAAGAAUCUCCCUUUGACUUGCAAUUCAAGGUGAUGAAGUAGAAGGAUGUGUGCUUAUCUCAUCCUUGAGAACACCAAAAUUGCAACUAGCUAUUGAACAGCCAUCGACAGGAGGACACUGGAACCCACCAAAAGAGGUACCCCACGUCCAGAGACAAGGAAGAAGUCCUAACAAGACACAUGCAAGAUCUUAGUUCCCCAACCGGGGAUUGAACUCAUGCCACCUGCACUGGAAGCUUGGAGUCUCAACCACUGGACCGCCAUGAAAGUCCCUCAGAUUUCUUUUUGAAUUGUAGUUCUCAGUGUUAUAAAGCCUCUUGGGACAGUCUGUCCUCAAGGGACCAAAACAAAUAAAUAAAAACCAAAAUGAAAAAAAAAAAAAGAGUCUGCUGCUGAGGGAAGGAACUGUGAGUGGUGAUCAAGAAGAAAUUCCUCUUCUGAUUAGUUUUAUUUCUCUUUUGACAUCUAAGUAGUAUGAAGUAGGCUGGUAAUUCAAUCCUAGAAGGAAAUUGGAAUAUUCAAGAAACAAUUUGUUGUCGCAAUCCCAUCAGACUUGGCUCUUCCAGUGGCAGUGAGAAGCUCCAUCGUGGAAGAUCCUCACUGCAGCCUUACAAGGAGGGAAUUAUUGUUGACAGGUUAUGGAUGGAUUAAAUCUGGUAAGACCCUUUUGUUAGAAAUCUGUAGGGAGGUGUAGCAUUUUCUCUCCCAGCCAGCCUCUGUAAAAUCAUCCACACUCCUUCUUUCUCACUCUCUGUUCUAGCCACAUGGAUCUUCUUCCAGGUCUUUGGUUUUUGUCCAGUCUUCUUCCUCUACAGGAUCUUGGGACAUACUCUUCCUGUUUGGGAUAUUCUCUUUGUAUGCUUUUUUUAAAAAAAUAUUUAAAUGGUUAUUUAUUUGUUUGGCCAUUUUGGGCCUUUGUUGCAUCAUGAGGAAUCGUUCAUUGUGGUGUGCGAAUUCUGUAGUUGUGUGCGGGUUUAGCAGUUGCCACAAGUGUGGGCUUAGUUGCUCCUGGCAUAUGAGGUCUUAGCUUCCCACCGAGGGAUCGAACCCAUAUUUCCUGCAUUGCAAGGCGGAUUCUCAAUCACUGGACCACCAGGAAAGACUCUCUCUUUGUAUUCUGGACUGUGAAAGAAAGUGACAGUGUUAGCAGUCCUGUCUGAUUCUUUGCGACCCCAUGGACAGAAGAGCCUGGCAGGCUACAACCCCAUGGACUGUAACCCACUAGACUCCUCUGUCCGUGGAAUUC